rnacentral:rRNA from 1 species
CAGGCCUAACACAUGCAAGUCGAGCGAAUCGACGGGAGCUUGCUCCCUGAGAUUAGCGGCGGACGGGUGAGUAACACGUGGGCAACCUGCCUAUAAGACUGGGAUAACUUCGGGAAACCGGAGCUAAUACCGGAUACGUUCUUUUCUCGCAUGAGAGAAGAUGGAAAGACGGUUUACGCUGUCACUUAUAGAUGGGCCCGCGGCGCAUUAGCUAGUUGGUGAGGUAAUGGCUCACCAAGGCGACGAUGCGUAGCCGACCUGAGAGGGUGAUCGGCCACACUGGGACUGAGACACGGCCCAGACUCCUACGGGAGGCAGCAGUAGGGAAUCUUCCGCAAUGGACGAAAGUCUGACGGAGCAACGCCGCGUGAACGAAGAAGGCCUUCGGGUCGUAAAGUUCUGUUGUUAGGGAAGAACA